UACGGAGGGUGCGAGCGUUAUCCGGAUUCACUGGGUUUAAAGGGUGCGUAGGUGGGAAUGUAAGUCAGUGGUGAAAUCUCCGUGCUUAACACGGAAACUGCCAUUGAUACUAUGUUUCUUGAAUUUUCUGGAGGUUAGCGGAAUAUGUCAUGUAGCGGUGAAAUGCCUAGAUAUGACAUAGAACACCGAUUGCGAAGGCAGCUAACUACAGGGAUAUUGACACUGAGGCACGAAAGCGUGGGGAUCAAACAGG
rnacentral:rRNA from 1 species